rnacentral:rRNA from 1 species
ACUCCUACGGGAGGCAGCAGUGGGGAAUAUUGCACAAUGGGCGCAAGCCUGAUGCAGCCAUGCCGCGUGUGUGAAGAAGGCCUUCGGGUUGUAAAGCACUUUCAGUUGUGAGGAAAGGUUAGUCGCUAAUAUCGGCUAGCUGUGACGUUAGCAACAGAAGAAGCACCGGCUAACUCCGUGCCAGCAGCCGCGGUAAUACGGAGGGUGCGAGCGUUAAUCGGAAUUACUGGGCGUAAAGCGUGCGCAGGCGGUUUGUUAAGCGAGAUGUGAAAGCCCCGGGCUCAACCUGGGAAUUGCAUUUCGAACUGGCAAGCUAGAGUCUUGUAGAGGGGGGUAGAAUUCAGGUGUAGCGGUGAAAUGCGUAGAGAUCUGAAGGAAUACCGGUGGCGAAGGCGGCCCCCUGGACAAAGACUGACGCUCAUGCACGAAAGCGUGGGGAG